GACGAACGCUGGCGGCGUGCCUAAUACAUGCAAGUCGAGCGGAACUGGGGGAGCUUGCUCCUUCCAGUUUAGCGGCGGACGGGUGAGUAACACGUGGGCAACCUGCCCUGCAGAUCGGGAUAACUCCGGGAAACCGGUGCUAAUACCGAAUAGUUUGGCGCCUCUCCUGAGGCGCUACGGAAAGACGGUUUCGGCUGUCACUGCAGGAUGGGCCCGCGGCGCAUUAGCUAGUUGGUGGGGUAACGGCCCACCAAGGCGACGAUGCGUAGCCGACCUGAGGGGGGGACCGGCCACACGGGGACUGAGACACGGCCCAGACUCCUACGGGAGGCAGCAGUAGGGAAUCUUCCGCAAUGGACGCAAGUCUGACGGAGCAACGCCGCGUGAGUGACGAAGGUUUUCGGAUCGUAAAACUCUGUUGUGAGGGAAGAACACGUACCAACUAACUAUUGGUACCUUGACGGUACCUCACCAGAAAGCCACGGCUAACUACGUGCCAGCCGCCGCCGUAA
rnacentral:rRNA from 1 species